UACGUAGGGUGCAAGCGUUAAUCGGAAUUACUGGGCGUAAAGGGUGCGUAGGCGGUUCGUUAAGUCUGUCGUGAAAUCCCCGGGCUCAACCUGGGAAUGGCGAUGGAUACUGGCGAGCUAGAGUGUGUCAGAGGAUGGUGGAAUUCCCGGUGUAGCGGUGAAAUGCGUAGAGAUUGGGAGGAACAUCAGUGGCGAAGGCGGCCAUCUGGGACAACACUGACGCUGAAGCACGAAAGCGUGGGGAGCAAACAGG
rnacentral:rRNA from 1 species